UACGUAGGUGGCGAGCGUUGUCCGGAAUUACUGGGUGUAAAGGGAGCGUAGGCGGGAGUGCAAGUUGAAUGUGAAAUCUAUCGGCUCAACCGGUAGCUGCGUUCAAAACUGCAUUUCUUGAGUGAAGUAGAGGCAGGCGGAAUUCCUAGUGUAGCGGUGAAAUGCGUAGAUAUUAGGAGGAACACCAGUGGCGAAGGCGGCCUGCUGGGCUUUUACUGACGCUGAUGCUCGAAAGCAUGGGUAGCAAACAGG
rnacentral:rRNA from 1 species